UACAGAGGUCUCAAGCGUUGUUCGGAUUCAUUGGGCGUAAAGGGUGCGUAGGCGGCGCGGUAAGUCAGGGGUGAAAUCCUGGAGCUCAACUCCAGAACUGCCUUUGAUACUGAUGAGCUUGAGUUCGGGAGAGGUGAGUGGAACUGCGAGUGUAGAGGUGAAAUUCGUAGAUAUUCGCAAGAACACCAGUGGCGAAGGCGGCUCACUGGCCCGAUACUGACGCUGAGGUGCGAAAGCGUGGGGAGCAAACAGG
rnacentral:rRNA from 1 species